GAUGAAGAACGCAGCGAAAUGCGAUAAGUAAUGUGAAUUACAGAAUUCAGUGAAUCAUCGAAUCUUUGAACGCACAUUGCGCCCCUUGGUAUUCCGAGGGGCAUGCCUGUUCGAGCGUCAUUAUAACCCCUCAAGCUCAGCUUGGUGUUGGGGCCUGCUGCACUGGCAGCCCUUAAAAUCAGUGGCGGCGCCAUCUGGCUCUAAGCGUAGUAAUUCUUCUCGCUAUGGAGUCCUGGUGGAUGCUUGCCAUCAACCCCCAAUUUUUCUAUGGUUGACCUCGGAUCAGGUAGGGAUACCCGCUGAACUUAAGCAUAUCAAUAAGCGGAGGA
rnacentral:misc_RNA from 1 species